AACGAGCGCUGGCGGCAGGCUUAACACAUGCAAGUCGAGCGAGACCUUCGGGUCUAGCGGCGGACGGGUGAGUAACGCGUGGGAACGUGCCCUUCUCUACGGAAUAGCCCCGGGAAACUGGGAGUAAUACCGUAUACGCCCUUUGGGGGAAAGAUUUAUCGGAGAAGGAUCGGCCCGCGUUGGAUUAGGUAGUUGGUGGGGUAAUGGCCCACCAAGCCGACGAUCCAUAGCUGGUUUGAGAGGAUGAUCAGCCACACUGGGACUGAGACACGGCCCAGACUCCUACGGGAGGCAGCAGUGGGGAAUCUUAGACAAUGGGGGCAACCCUGAUCUAGCCAUGCCGCGUGAGUGAUGAAGGCCUUAGGGUUGUAAAGCUCUUUCAGCUGGGAAGAUAAUGACGGUACCAGCAGAAGAAGCCCCGGCUAACUCCGUG
rnacentral:rRNA from 1 species